rnacentral:tRNA from 1 species
GGGCCCGUAGCUUAGCUUGGAUAGAGCGCCGGCCUCCGGAGCCGGUGGUCCGGGGUUCAAGUCCCCGCGGGCCCGCCA